GAGGGUAUAGCUCAGUGGUACAAUGCAUGCUUAGCAUGCACGAGGUCCUGGGUUCAAUCCUCAGUAUCUCCA
rnacentral:tRNA from 1 species